GACGAACGCUGGCGGCGUGCCUAAUACAUGCAAGUUGAGCGCUGAAGGUUGGUACUUGUACCAACUGGAUGAGCAGCGAACGGGUGAGUAACGCGUGGGGAAUCUGCCUUUGAGCGGGGGACAACAUUUGGAAACGAAUGCUAAUACCGCAUAAAAACUUUAAACACAAGUUUUAAGUUUGAAAGAUGCAAUUGAAUCACUCAAAGAUGAUCCCGCGUUGUAUUAGCUAGUUGGUGAGGUAAAGGCUCACCAAGGCGAUGAUACAUAGCCGACCUGAGAGGGUGAUCGGCCACAUUGGGACUGAGACACGGCCCAAACUCCUACGGGAGGCAGCAGUAGGGAAUCUUCGGCAAUGGACGAAAGUCUGACCGAGCAACGCCGCGUGAGUGAAGAAGGUUUUCGGAUCGUAAAACUCUGUUGGUAGAGAAGAACGUUGGUGAGAGUGGAAAGCUCAUCAAGUGACGGUAACUACCCAGAAAGGGACGGCUAACUACGUG
rnacentral:rRNA from 1 species